UACAGAGGUCUCAAGCGUUGUUCGGAUUCAUUGGGCGUAAAGGGUGCGUAGGUGGCGCUGUAAGUCGGAUGUGAAAUCUCGGAGCUUAACUUCGAAACUGCAUUCGAUACUGCCGUGCUUGAGGACUGGAGAGGAGACUGGAAUUUACGGUGUAGCGGUGAAAUGCGUAGAUAUCGUAAGGAAGACCAGUGGCGAAGGCGGGUCUCUGGACAGUUCCUGACGCUGAGGCACGAAGGUCAGGGGAGCAAACGGG
rnacentral:rRNA from 1 species